rnacentral:rRNA from 1 species
UACGUAGGGGGCUAGCGUUGUCCGGAAUCAUUGGGCGUAAAGCGCGUGUAGGCGGCUCGGUAAGUCCGCUGUGAAAGUCGGGGGCUCAACCCUCGAAAGCCGGUGGAUACUGUCGGGCUAGAGUACGGAAGAGGCGAGUGGAAUUCCUGGUGUAGCGGUGAAAUGCGCAGAUAUCAGGAGGAACACCGAUUGCGAAGGCAGCUCGCUGGGACGUUACUGACGCUGAGACGCGAAAGCGUGGGGAGCAAACAGGAUUAGAAACCCCGUGU